rnacentral:rRNA from 1 species
CCUACGGGAGGCAGCAGUGAGGAAUAUUGGUCAAUGGACGCAAGUCUGAACCAGCCAUGCCGCGUGCAGGAUGACGGCUCUAUGAGUUGUAAACUGCUUUUGUACGAGGGUAAACCCCGAUACGUGUAUCGGGUUGAAAGUAUCGUACGAAUAAGGAUCGGCUAACUCCGUGCCAGCAGCCGCGGUAAUACGGAGGAUCCGAGCGUUAUCCGGAUUUAUUGGGUUUAAAGGGUGCGUAGGCGGUUUGAUAAGUUAGAGGUGAAAGGUCGGGGCUCAACCCCGAAACUGCCUCUAAUACUGUUGGACUAUAGAAUAGUUGCGGUAGGCGGAAUGUAUGGUGUAGCGGUGAAAUGCUUAGAGAUCAUACAGAACACCGAUUGCGAAGGCAGCUUACCAAACUAUAUCUGACGUUGAGGCACGAAAGCGUGGGUAGCAAACAGGAUUAGAUACCCGAGUAGUC